CGAUGGCUUUCCAGCUCGUGUCGUGAGAUGUUGGGUUAAGUCCCGCAACGAGCGCAACCCUUGCCAUUAGUUGCCAUCAUUUGGUUGGGCACUCUAAUGGGACUGCCGGUGACAAACCGGAGGAAGGUGGGGAUGACGUCAAGUCCUCAUGGCCCUUAUGACCAGGGCUUCACACGUCAUACAAUGGUCGGUACAGAGGGUAGCCAAGCCGCGAGGUGGAGCCAAUCCCAGAAAACCGAUCGUAGUCCGGAUUGCACUCUGCAACUCGAGUGCAUGAAGUCGGAAUCGCUAGUAAUCGCAGGUCAGCAUACUGCGGUGAAUACGUUCCCGGGUCUUGUACACACCGCCCGUCACACCAUGGGAGUGGGGGAUACCAGAAUUGGGUAGGGUAACCUUCGGGAGCCCGCUAACACGGUACCGUA
rnacentral:rRNA from 1 species